AGUGAACGCUGGCGGCAUGCCUUACACAUGCAAGUCGAACGACGUUACGGGGGCAACUCUGUAGCGAGUGGCGAACGGGUGAGUAAUGCAUCGGAACGUGCCCUCUUGUGGGGGAUAACCAGUCGAAAGAUUGGCUAAUACCGCAUGAGCUCGAGAGAGGAAAGCGGGGGAUCCGCAAGGACCUCGCGCGAGAGGAGCGGCCGAUGCCCGAUUAGCUAGUGGUGGGGUAAAGCCCACCAAGGCGACGAUCGGUAGCUGGUCUGAGAGGACGACCAGCCACACUGGGACUGAGACACGGCCCAGACUCCUACGGGAGGCAGCAGUGGGGAAUUUGGACAAUGGGGGCAACCCUGAUCCAGCCAUGCCGCGUGUGUGAAGAAGGCCU
rnacentral:rRNA from 1 species